UGAGAUAACCUCAGGAAUAACCCACUCCACGAAACAAUCUUUCAAUGGCCAAUGAAGUGGUAAUCAUAGUAGUCGUCCAGUCACUCACUAGACAUCAUCGUGCUACGUAUUAUUUCAAAAGUUAAUUUUUAAAUUCUUUGUCUAUAAUGGAAAAUUGUUUUUGGAAGAUUUGUCUAAUUAUUGCUUUUCUAAUGACUGGUGUUGUAUCUCGCGAAUCGCGUUUACUAAUAUGUAUAGACAAUCAAAGAUUAGUAAAACUAUUAUACGAAAGUGAGACAUCUCUAUAUAUUUAACAGAUGAAAAGGAUGUUCCAGAUAAGCCCGAUAUAAUUUUGCUCACAGAAGGGAAUAACGAGGUUACACCUGCAAUUUGUCGAAUCGAAAGUUCUGAACUAAUAUCAACAUAUAAUUAUUUUCAACAACAUAAAACUUAUUACCAAAUUCCUCCGCAUACCAGAACAUUUACAUGUAGACAGCCUUGGUGUGUAUCAAAUCGAGGAGGAGGCCGUGAUCGUUACGGUUCUAACCGUUUAAUACAGAAGCAAUUGUCGAGGUUCAGAAGUCUUUGUUACGAUGCAAGAAAACAUUCGAUCUUGCAUUUUUAUAGUGUCGAUGGCUCUGGCAUAAUUAAACAUCAUCUUCGCGUUUUAGAAAAAACACCCGUUCGAUUCGCAAAUACCGACAUAAACUUCAGGUUAAGAGAUUUUGCUUACGAUUGGAUUACGAAGAACGUAUACAUUAACGGGCAUAAGCGUAUAAAUGUUGCCAACCUCGAAAAUCCGGAGCUAUUUAAGGAAAUCAUAUCUAACAGAAAAGAAAAUACGAAUUUGAGGGUGCAUCCGAAUAAGGGCUACCUCUUUUUCAUGGAUGCUAACCGUAGAAGUAUUAAAUGCGGCGCAAGAAAUUGGAAAAUGAAGAUAAGGAUUUUAGAAUAAAUAGCGUUCAAGAUAACAGGAUUAACCAUUUUAUCAUCUAUGACACCGAGUCUCAGCAGAUUCGCAAAGAUCACCCAUGUUUGUUAAAUAAUGGAGACUGUAAACAGUUUUGUUUCGCCGUGCCCGAGCCCGAUAAGUUAAAAAGAGUUUGUGCGUGUAAAAGUCAAGAUGAGUUGGGAGCUGAUUUAGUUUCUUGUACCCCCGUCAAAAAUAACACGUCUAAUAAAUGUAACAAUUCAACCAAGCCAAGUAACUGAGUUCUCGACAGGACUUGAUGAUUUUCGAAUUCAGAAUUACUUGUUAUGCCGAGAACACACUUAUUAUGCAGGAUUCAAGGUGCUAAUUUAAUAAAUUACAUUAUCUAAUCGAGCAUCAGUAAAUAUUUGGCUUAUAGUAUAUUUAUAAAAAAG